GGGUGUGUAGCUCAGCAGUAGAGAGCCUGUUUGGCAUACACAGGUCCUGGGUUCCAUCCCGAGCACGCCCC
rnacentral:tRNA from 1 species